rnacentral:rRNA from 1 species
UAUCACUUCUGGAUGAUCCCGCGGCGUAUAAGUUAGUUGGUGAGGUAAAGGCCCACCAAGACGAUGAUACGUAGCCGACCUGAGAGGGUAAUCGGCCACAUUGGGACUGAGACACGGCCCAAACUCCUACGGGAGGCAGCAGUAGGGAAUCUUCCACAAUGGACGAAAGUGUGAUGGAGCAAUGCCAUGUGAGUGAANNAGGGUUUCGGCUCGUAAACCUCUGNNGUUAAAGAAGNNCACCUUUGAGAGUAACUGUUCAAGGGUUGACGGUAUUUAACCAGAAAGCCACGGCUAACUACGUGCCAGCACCCGCGGUAAUACGUAGGUGGCAAGCGUUGUCCGGAUUUAUUGGGCGUAAAGCGAGCGCAGGCGGUUUUAAGUCUGAUCUGUUAGCCUUCGGCUUAACCGGAGAAGUGCAUCGGAAACUGGGAGACUUGAGUGCAGAAGAGGACAGUGCNACUCCAUGUGUAGCGGUGGAAUGCGUAGAUAUAUGGAAGAAAACCAGUNNAAGGCGGCUGUCUAGUCUGUAACUGACGCUGAGGCUCGAAAGCAUNNGUAGCGAACAGGAUUAGAUNCCCUGGUAGUCCAUGCCGUAAACGAUGAGUGCUAAGUGUUGGAGGGUUUCCGCCCUUCAGUGCUGCAGCUAACGCAUUAAGCACUCCGCCUGGGGAGNACGACGGCAAGGUUGAAACUCAAAGGAAUUGACGGGGGCCCGCACAAGCGGUGGAGCAUGUGGUUUAAUUCGAGGCUACGCGAAGAACCUUACCAGGUCUUGACAUCUUCUGCCAAUCUUAGAGNUAAGACGUUCCCUUCGGGGACAGAAUGACAGNNNGUGCAUGGUUGUCGUCAGCUCGUGUCGUGAGAUGUUGGGNNNGUCCCGCAAC